UCAAAUGAAUUGACGGGACCCGCACAAGCAGAGUAGCGCGUGGUUUAAUUCGACGGUAAUCGAAGAACCUUACCAGGGUUUGAAAUGUAUCUGCAUGCCCUAUGAAAGUAGGGAGGCCUUCGAGGGUGAUACACAGGUGCUGCAUGGCCGCCGUCAGCUCGUGUCGUGAGAUGUAGGGUUAAGUCCCGAAACGAGCGCAACCCCUAUUCUAUGUUACAAGUGUCUUAGAAAACCGCCUCGGUAAAACGAGGAGGAAGGUGGGAUGACGUCUGGUCCGCAUAGCCCUUAUGUCCUGGGCUACACACACGCUACAAUGGCCGAUACAGUAGGAUGCCAAAUCGUAAGAUGGAGCUAACCCUCAAAAUCGGUCUCAGUUCGGAUUGAGGUCUGAAAUUCGACCUCAUGAAGUUGGAUUUGCUAGUAAUCGUAGAUCAGCAAUGCUACGGUGAAUACGUUCUCGGGUCUU
rnacentral:rRNA from 1 species